UCAGGAUGAACGCUAGCUACAGGCUUAACACAUGCAAGUCGAGGGGCAGCAUAACGAAAGCUUGCUUUGUUGAUGGCGACCGGCGCACGGGUGAGUAACGCGUAUCCAACCUUCCCCAUAGUAGAGGAUAGCCCGGCGAAAGUCGGAUUAAUACUCUAUGUUGUAUUUUGAGGACAUCUGACGAAUACCAAAGAUUGAUCGCUAUGGGAUGGGGAUGCGUCUGAUUAGCUUGUUGGCGGGGUAACGGCCCACCAAGGCGACGAUCAGUAGGGGUUCUGAGAGGAAGGUCCCCCACAUUGGUACUGAGACACGGACCAAACUCCUACGGGAGGCAGCAGUGAGGAAUAUUGGUCAAUGGACGAGAGUCUGAACCAGCCAAGUAGCGUGCAAGGAUGACUGCCCCAUGGGUUGUAAACUGCUUUUAUGCGGGAAUAAAGUCAGGUACGCGUACCUGUUUGUAUGUACCGCAUGAAUAAGGACCGGCUAAUUCCGUGCCAGCCGCUGC
rnacentral:rRNA from 1 species